UGGUACCAAGUGGACACUCAAACCUC
rnacentral:piRNA from 1 species